UUGACUCAUUUUGUAUACUCCGAGAUGCAACGCUUCAGAGGCAGAGUUGCGGGCCACCGGCGGGCUCGACGCCCCGGGCCGGGCUCAUCACCCGGCGCCGCAGCGCCCGCCGAGGCAACGUCAGUAGUAAGAUUCACGGUGGUUUGAGACGCUGAAGUCACUGUAAUGAUCCCUCCGCUGGUUCACCAACGGAGA
rnacentral:misc_RNA from 1 species